AUUGAACGCUGGCGGUAUGCUUAACACAUGCAAGUCGAACGGUAACAGGCCUUCGGGUGCUGACGAGUGGCGAACGGGUGAGUAAUGCAUCGGAACGUGCCCAAUCGUGGGGGAUAACGUAGCGAAAGUUACGCUAAUACCGCAUAAGCCCUGAGGGGGAAAGCAGGGGAUCGCAAGACCUUGCGCGAAUGGAGCGGCCGAUGUCAGAUUAGCUAGUUGGUGGGGUAAAGGCCUACCAAGGCGACGAUCUGUAGCGGGUCUGAGAGGAUGAUCCGCCACACUGGGACUGAGACACGGCCCAGACUCCUACGGGAGGCAGCAGU
rnacentral:rRNA from 1 species